rnacentral:lncRNA from 1 species
AUUAGUGAAAUUUAACAGUGCCCUUUAAUAAAUAAUUCACCUCACUUUCCAACCAUAUCUACACUGUGCCUCUCCUCCAAACCCACUUACAGAUCCUCUCCUGCCCUUGGAGUCAUUAUUGCCCUCAAUUCAAGUGUCUGAAAGCAUGACUGAUGAAAGGUAAGACUCCAUUCCUGGCUAGCCGCCACUGGCCACACCCCACGAAGAAUCCCAACAGCUCAGUUUGAAGACUUGUCAUUAGUUGAAGGGUUGAAUAGAACAAAGACUCAUCUCCGUCAAGUAAGAAGGAAUUCUGUCAGCACACAGCCUUUUGAUUCCAACUGCAACUCUUCCCUGAGUCUCCAGCCUGCUGGCCUCCCCCAUCAGAUUGUGGACUUGCCAAGCCUCCACAAUCAUAAUGCUGGUUGUAAAUAGCACUCAUCAUCCCCCCUAUCACCACGCUGGUAAUGAAGAGAAAUGUGCUGGUAAUGAGGAGAGCAGCCGCCAUUAUAGUA